rnacentral:rRNA from 1 species
UACGUAGGUGGCAAGCGUUGUCCGGAAUUAUUGGGCGUAAAGCGCGCGUAGGCGGCUCGUUAAGUGUGAAGUGAAAUCUUCGGGCUCAACCCGGAAACUGCUUCGCAUACUGGCGAGCUUGAGGGGCACAGAGGCAACUGGAAUUCCUGGUGAAGCGGUGAAAUGCGUAGAUAUCAGGAGGAACUCCCAUGGCGAAGGCAGGUUGCUGGGUGCCAUCUGACGCUGAGGCGCGAAAGCGUGGGUAGCAAACAGG